GUAGAUAUAUGUUUAUUCAUUUAUUGAGAAUUGUUUAUUGAAUUCUACUUUGUUCUAUGAAAUCAUUUUUCCUGAUGCAUCGGAUAAAGGUAAAAGUUCGUGAACUGAAAGAAUGCAUAGACUGAUGAUGGAAGAAGACAAGAAAGUGAGGUAAAGAUAAAUACAAUGACACAGGAGUGCAUAGAGACCUGGAAGGACAGUGGUGGCUAGUUCAUCGAAUUUGGUAUUGGAUUGGCCAGUAGAAGUGGGCCAACCACAGAGGCUAAGAGUGGUAGCAGCUGUGGCAGUCUGGGAGAUGAUGCCUUGUGUAAACAGGACAACUGUUACUCAGCUCUACCUAAUUACUGACAAGUGAGAAUAUUGGCUCAGUGUCAUCAGGGCUUCCCAUUUCUCAACAGAAGAUGAAGAUAUGGAUGACUUUUUAGUGUGAAGUGACCAUGUAAUUCAACUCUAACCAAUAAGGAGUAAAGAGAUGUCUCCUGAGGAUAAUUGCCUACCUCCUAAAUGAAAAUAGAGACAUGAGACACAGUAUGCAUUCUCUUUGGCUACUCUGGUCAUCUCCUUUCACAUAAGAAUGUGAUGUUUGGAGCUGCAGCAGCAAUUUUUUGACCCUACGGAACAAACCUGUACACGAAGAGCCAUUAUAUUGAAUACGAUGGGUCAGAAGAAUGGAAACAGCUAGAGUUUUUGAUAACACUGCUCAGCCAAAUCUCAACCCUGACACCACUUAUCCCUAGACUUGCUAGUCAUAUGAGCUAA